UUGCGUCACAGCAAGGUCGCGACUUUCCCGCUACGCACUUUUCAUUUUGGGCUUCAUUUCCCAUUUUUGACUGUUUCGACAACAACAACAACUGACGGUUGGCGAAGGAGGUGGAGAACAAACUUGGGGGCUGUUGAUCCGGCGGUGGUUAUACGUGUGUGGUGGUCAACUGGUCAUCCACCUUAUGAAUGUUGUUAUAUGUUACGGGCAGAGUGGGUGGAACGAGGUUAGACGGCCAACCGACCGCUAGGCAGAUUCCGCACUUGUAUUUUUCUUUUUUUUUUAACGGUCGAGCGGGCCGAUCGAUCCGCUUCACCAAGGAGGCGUGGCCCAAUCCGCAAGCCCGUAGUUCAUCACACACACACACAGCCAGAAACCUAACCCUCCAAAAAAUACGACGCAGAAAUUGACUCUAGCCACCUUUUUGGCCGGCUGCAAAAAAGGAACGCAUUAAAAUUUUUCAAAAGUGUUGGUUUUUGGGGUCGCCUGCCAAAUACGCAUUUUUCAAAAUAGGUAAUCACCUGUGUAAAUGAACCGGUCCCACAACCAGAAAACAAAAAUCCCGACGUCUCUAAAAAAACACAAGAGGAAUGUUUUCUUUUCUUUUCUCCUUUUAAAACGGACUCGUUCAACUCUCUUUUCUUUUAAUAAUUUUUUAAAAAAGAAAAUGAAAAAAAAAAAACUUGUCACAUUUUUCUUUUUUUCCAGUUAUGUUUACAACAACAAAAAGGCCCUAGCGAUUGCCACCUUCUUUGGUAUUCAUUCAGUUUCCCCCCCACUUCUUCUUCUUUUCUUAUCGCUUUGGCUGUCGUCUUUUCUCUUAGGUUCAUUCCAUCAUUUGAUAUGAGUCACCGGGUCCGGCAUGAAAUAACACGCACCGCAACCAACUCGACUCCAACCAAUCGACUCGUUUUUUUUUUUAAGUUUUUGGGUUUGUUGUUAAUUCCUUUUCUUCCGUUGAUAUUUGGUACGUUCGCAAAGAGCUAGCGCGGGACCGAGAGGAGCAAAAUAUUCCUGGCCGUCAAAAGCACGCCACGUAAUUCGUUCGGGCGUGAAUGAGGAGAGAGAGAGAGAAACUCAAAUGCGCCCGCUAGCGUCGAAAUGCAACAACAACAUUUAUUCCUUCGUUGUUGUUGUUUUCUUUCUCUGCGCAGUGUGGCAAACAACUGGAGUAAAAAAGUGGAACGGACAAGAAUGUUUCUUUUCAGGCGCAUUCCGUCUCUCCUGCUGUUGCUAUUUUUUUGGUUGAUGACCAUAUCAAACACGAGAAGCAGCAGCAGUCGGUGACUACAGUCGUCAUAUAAUAACCCAAGUGGCGCAAGCGCAUCUUUGGAAUUUGCUUUUCUUGUCAUUUUCUUCUUCAAAGAGACAGAAAGAGAAGAGGUGGAUAGAAACGCCCGUGGCAUUUGUUUGCAACUCCUUAUUUUCCAUUUGAAAUAAUAACAAUAUCCCUCCCCUCCUAAAUAGAGUUUGGAAACAAAUGGAAAAAAUGUUAGCAAUUCGCCAGAGGAACGCUGCCGAGCUAUUUUUCUGUUUUCUGUUGACUCUUUUUUUCUCUAUCCAGGAGAGAUACACACGGCAGAAAGGAGACGACUUUUCGGUGCUUCACUCUUCCUUAUUUGGCUUCCAUGCGGAUGUAGCAGCAAACAAAAACAACAGCGCAAACUGACGAAACCUUUCACAAAACUUUACAUCGAAAGAAAUACUCUCCGUCGCACUCCGCCUACUUCAUGAUGAAUCGAUGCGAGCACGAGAACGUCGAGUAUCCAGGCCAUUAACAAUAACAACAACACACGGAAUCGACGGACCCGUCCCUUUUACCCACACACGUUACAAAGCAAAAUACUUUUCGGGCUGCAAGUCAAAACGUUUCGCCAUGUUUCUCUGUGUGUAUGUACAUCGGAGUGAAUCGUUGUUGAUUUUUCCUUUCAAAAAAUCUAAAAAAAAAAGAAAAAUACAAGACGACGAAACGGUACGCACAUAAAGAUCACAGUUCUGACGUCAUGUAAUGGGUCACGGGGGCGGCACUCAAUCCUAUCCCAUUACAGAAAAAGGUAUAGAAUAUCCGUUGGCCGUUGUGUGUGUGUGUGUGCGUAUACCCCGUCGGUGAAACAACAAAUCUCUUCUUCUGUUUGCCGAAAAAUUAAAAAAAUAUCGCAAAAAUAAAAGAAUGAUGACAAUUGGACAAGCGACCACACACACACACACACAGGUCUCGUUUUUCCUUCCCGUGGUUUUGUUUUUUACCGCCAGCUUUUGUUUCAACAGAAAAAAAAAGCUUGAAACAACAAGCGAUUCACUCAAAUGGACAAACACACACCACCUUUUUUCCCCAAACCAACUAACAAACACCUGGGAAUGGAAACCCUUUAGCUGCUUCUCCUGCAGCCUCAAACUCGAGGAUGGCAAAUGUUUGCCAAACCUUUUCUUCUUCUUCUUCUUCUAGUCAAAUAGACACGCAGAAGAAGAAUCUACGUGUGGGUGGAAAUGUGUUAACAACAACACAUAACCUAGGCCAAAGAGAAGUGUGUAGUUGUUACCAUGGCCUGGGCAAACAAAACAAAAAGGAAAAACACACACACACACCGUCGCUAAAUGCACGACGCAUAUUCGUCCAUCAGAGUCGGGUAUUUAUGCAGAUAAGAGACGGCCACUCUCUUUGGGCUGCGUAAU
rnacentral:lncRNA from 1 species